rnacentral:tRNA from 1 species
GAAGAGGUAGCUCAGCAGUUAAGAGCACCGGUUGCUCUUCUGGAGGACCUGGGAUCAAAUCCCAGCAUCUGUA